rnacentral:rRNA from 1 species
UACGAAGGGGGCUAGCGUUGUUCGGAAUCACUGGGCGUAAAGCGCACGCAGGCGGGUCGUUAAGUCAGGGGUGAAAUCCCGAGGCUCAACCUCGGAACUGCCUUUGAUACUGGCGACCUUUGAGUCCGGGAGAGGUGAGUGGAACUCCGAGUGUAGAGGUGAAUUCGUAGAUAUUCGGAAGAACACCAGUGGCGAAGGCGGCUCACUGGCCCGGUACUGACGCCUCAGUGCUGCGAAA